AAAAAAAUUCAAAAGAAAUUGAUGAUUACUUGUGUUAGUCUUUAUCAUGAUGUGAAUUAAUGUUCGCCUAUUCUUGUCUGACCCCACAACUGUUAUCCAAAGUUACGGUCCUUGGAAUAGUCAAAAAUGUUUAUUUUCACCCCAUGACAUGCCUAGCUCAAAAAUAUUUUAAGUUUAAUUCAUGAUUUCUUAUCAUUUUCACAUUUUGUGACCUUGCACACUCAACAAUCCUUUUGAGAUUUUAGCGUUAAUUACUGUUAAAGCCAAGGAAAAAUUUAAAAUACUGGAUUUUUUUCAUUUGUAAUUCACAUAGCUCUAAAAGUAUAAAGCCUAGAAUUAUGAAUCCUUUUUUGCAGCUGCUGUUACACAGAUUCUCUGAGUCUUGGAGACAAUGCGGGAGGAGAAUCGUGAAAUUAAGAGGAUGAUGUAGCAAUUGUUGUCAAGGUCAGCAGCAGAUGACCAACCGCUGCAGCUUCCUGAAGAUAUCUCAUUCCCUAUUCGUUCUCCUUAGCAGAUGGAAACAUUCGAUGAGCUUCUGGGAGAUCAGACAAAGCUGUCAUCUGUGGUGCGGUUCCUUUCAAUGUUUGGUGGGGCAGUUGUGCGGGAAACUGUUGACCGCUAGAUGAUAGAAACCAUGUCAAAUGAACUGGCAAGAAUGUUCAAUAUGAAGGGGGCUGAAAGGGAAGAAAACAUUUGGGGGCCUCUAGAUACUGAAUGUAUUGUAUAAAUGUGUCCAAAGGAACUUGCCGACAAAGACUGCGACGAGGAAGGAUAUUGAAAUAAAGGUUUCAAAGUGGCUGGCUGGGGCGUGGGACCGCGAUGGGGGAAGGAAAGCAAGAAACAAAGUGUCCGAGA